GUCUCUUCAGAGGAACCUGUCCUAUAAUUGAUAGUCCACGAUUUUCACAACUUAUUUUAUUAAUUUGCAUAUCGCCGUAGAUUGAAUAUUUUUUAAGAAAUAUAAUAUUCAAAAAUUUAAAUUUAGGAAGAAUUCAGGUCAAGAUGUAGUUUAUAAAUAAGAAGAGAUGGGUUACAAUAAAUUUAUUUAAAAUGGAUAAUUAUUUUAAAUAGUAAUUUGAAGGUGGAUUUGAAAGUAAUUUUUAUUAAAUAAUAAAAAUGAUUUUAGCUCUAAAAUAUGCACAUAUCGCCCGUCAUUUUCACUAUAAAGUGGAACAAGUCGUAACAUAGUAGGUGUACUGGAAAGUGUACCUAGAAUGGCAAAUUAGAGCUCGAUAUAGAGUAUUUUAGUUACAUUAAAAAGUUUAUUGUGAAAAUCAAUAUAAUUUGAAUAUAAAUUAUUAUUAUUAAAUUUGAAUUUUUAUUUAUUUAAAUAAAAUAAUUUAGUGUUUAUUUAUUAAAAAGAAUAAAUUUUUUUUAUUAUAGUUAAUUAGUAUUGUGAAAGAAAUAUCUAAAAUACUUAAAAGAAUAAUUAAUUUUUAGUACCUUGUGCAUCAGGGAUUAUUUAAUAAAAGUAAAUAAUUAUUAUUUUCUCGAAUUUAAAAGAGUUAUAAAAUUAUAUUUUUUAUUGUAUUAUAAAUAUUAUAAAUAAUUUUAUAGUAAUGAAAUGUUAUUCGUUUUUAAAUAUAUCUAGUUUUUUAAGAAAUAAAUUUAAUUUAGUUAGUAAAAAUAUUUAUUUAAAUUUUUAAUAGAAUAUUAUUACUAGAAAAAAUUUUAAGGGUUGAGCUUUAAAGUUUAUUUUUAUAAAUAAUAGUGAAAUUUUGAAUAAGUAAGAUUAGAAGUUUUUAUCUUUAGUAGUAUGUUAUAAUAAAUUUAGUAAAAGAAAAAAUUUAUAUUAAUUUUAAAUGAUUUAUUGAAAUAUUAAUUUUAAUUUUUAAAGUUAAGAAUUAAUGAUAAUAUUAGUAUAUUUUAUUGUAUUUUAAUUAAUAGAUUAGAUUAAGUAAAGGAAUUCGGCAAAA
rnacentral:rRNA from 1 species